UACAGAGGUCUCAAGCGUUGUUCGGAUUCAUUGGGCGUAAAGGGUGCGUAGGCGGCGCGGUAAGUCGGGGUGUGAAAUCUCGGAGCUUUAACUCCGAAACUGCAUUCGAUACUGCCGUGCUUGAGGACUGGAGAGGAGACUGGAAUUUACGGUGUAGCGGUGAAAUGCGUAGAUAUCGUAAGGAAGACCAGUGGCGAAGGCGGGUCUCUGGACAGUUCCUGACGCUGAGGCACGAAGGUCAGGGGGAGCAAACGGGG
rnacentral:rRNA from 1 species